UUCACCUCGACGUGAUAUUCUUGGCGCCUCUUCCUCGUGGAUUGAAGAUCAGACAGUAAAGUUUUAUGUUGCUGGAAUGCUAGUCACGUUUGUCGAGGAUCACGUGGGUCACCGACGAAAAAGUAACUUCAGGUUAAUGGCACGGUGUGGAUUUUCACAGCAACACGACACAAUUUUGAUUUGCACACAAAGGAUUUGUUACACAGUGACCUUUGUUCUCAUUGUUCUGUUCGUGUCAAUAGUUGGAAAUAUGUAGGUGAAUUAACCAGAAACCACAAGUUAUAGUAAACAGUUGAUUCACACCUCUACUCGAAACGUUUGAAGAAAACAAUGCUGUUUUUAACAACGUUGCAAAUUUUCACAUCAAUUAACACAAAGAGAAUAUGGCCACCCCGGAAAUCUAGAAAUAUGUCGGAAUUUUAUUAUUGGAAAUCCCAGUAAGCUUUCAUUUCAACCAUUCGAUUCGGCUUUCUUUGCGCAUUAGUUAAUUACUUUUUUUUUGGUGAAAUUAAUCUGCAAAACACAGGCGUACAACUACCGAUGCAUUCAGUUGUGCGAAAUGGUUUUCUCUCUCGUAUCAUGUCCUGUGUAGUUCCAGAUGGUGAUACCGGAUGACUAUAAGCUGGUGCUUAUUUUUAACGGUAGCCCAAGCUUUCACAAGACGAUUCUCUCAUCCGCCGUAGUUUAUUGCACCCUUUUUUUUUUGGGCGGCCUCAUUUGAUGGCUCUCACCCAACAAUUCACUAUCCGGAAAUUAUGGC